GCCUGGCUGCACCUCUCCUAGACCCAUUUAAGAGCUGAAUACCAGUGGGAAAGGGUCUUUUCUGGAGAUCUCUUCUUUGGAGUUUUGCAGCAAGCUCAGGAUAUAGGUUGGCUUGUUGCCUGCUGUCUCAACCCCUUCGUUUUACUGCAUGAAAGAAGCAGACUCUGAAGUUCAUCCUGACUUUUCCUGUCCACAUAUAUCAGGAAGUGUGAGAUGACAGUCUUUUUCUUUCUGCAUAUUUUCAAAGACGGCACAGAGCCUCUUCAACAUGACAUAUCAGUAAUUUCAUGUCAGCUGGUUCUCAUCCUGUCUUCCUCCUCCUCAACCGAAAGUCUGUCUAUCAAGGGUACCUUGUACAUCUGCAGAGCACCUGCCUUUCAUUCCCCAUCAGAAAAAUGUAUUGGCUGUAUGAAUUUCUAGCUGACAGCAGUAUCAUCCCUGAGCUGUGAGAGCUGACAGCUCACAACAACAGCCAUGCUGUUCUGUCAGGCUUGAGGAUAACAUUAUCUCCAUGACAGCUAAU